ACCUGCCUUUCCUAAAGCCACUUAUAGUGGCUGUACCUGAUCAGCUGGUUGUCCUGCAUGUGCCACAUGGUAGCACUCAGGAUGAUUGCUGGUCAAAGCCCCACUCAGCCUGACCUUGGAUACUGCCAAAGAUGGGACAUCACUGGCUUUCUGCAAAGCAGACACUGUAAUAUGAGAUUAAAAAUACAUUUAAAACCAAGCUUAAUCCUGCUGAGUAAUAUGACCCUGAGUAUUGCUGAUUCCAAGUAAAUUAACCCAUCUUCAGCCUUCCUGAAGCCCAUGUUUAAUGAAAAAGCUGUGUCAACUUAAAAUAACACUGUGGCUGCUUUCAAGUGUCAUUCGUAGGUCAGUGAUUGCUAAUAGGAUACAGUCAGGCCCUUCUCCAUGUCAACAGUACACAGCUGUCUCAGUGCUUUGGAGGAAUGAUGUGAAGAGUUUUCAAGAUGAGCAACAGCAGAUGUUUAGUGGAGAAAUGCCUUGAAAGUCAGCCAGCUCACUACACUGGGUCAGACCAAAGAACCAUCCAGCCAAAAAUCUUGUUCCCAGAAGAUGCCCUCAAGAGAAUGCAACAGAGGAAAUACGUACAGUUAUUUCUAGGGAAUAUUUCCUGCACCUCUGGUGACUUCUGACAUGGGUGCUUCAUGGAGCAGUUGGUUAUAUAGCCUAAGACAUUAAUUCCCUGGUUUUAUCAUAUGUCUUUUACUUCUAAUCAAUACCCCUGCUACUUAUGUGAAAAUGCCAGGUGAACCACUGGCUUUUAACCCCUUUCUCUGUCAUUAUUUUUUUACAUAUCUCAGUCAUACAAUUCCUCAACAGACCAAUGAAUCUUUGUUAACCUAAUUGUUAAAAACUUACUCUUUUCAAGAUCUAAAUUUUGAGUUGUAAUCACUUGUUCAUAUCCCAUUAGAGUGUGGGAAAAGUUAAUAUUGUUUUUCUUCAUGCGCAUUGCUAUACAUUUAUCUACUGUAUUUUUAGCAGUUCUUUUAUCUCUCAUUCAGUAUAAUGAGCUUCUUCCUCAGCCCUUUCUCUUGUUUUUUCACUUGCUUCCUCCCGAGUUUCUUAUUUUUAUCCAUGUGUUUUGAAGAGGAUAUAUCAAGAAAUCUCAGUUUGAAUUGUUAAUAGAUUACAGGUUAAAUAGAACAAAAUAGCUGCUGGUCCUAUGAUAGUAUUUUGUUUCUAUGCAAUGGUCUUACAGACAUAUGUAUUCCCUGUUUUGUCCUUAAGAAGAUGAAAAGGGGUAAUUCCAACUUUACGCUCUACCAUAAAGUCGUUAGUAGAGUAUGGCUUCAAAAAAAUACAUAUUUGAAUCUUAGACUAGAUUGACACCUUCAUACACUUUUGCUGUUCUUGGCCAUUAAUGUUCAGAUCAAGCAGCAGGGUUUCUGCAGGUAUAAGUAGUUUGGAACUGUGGGAAAAAAUAAAUAAUUCUUUCUAUUGUUUUUCAAAUAUCAAAUCUUUGAAAUUGUCUGGGAAAGACCCAUUUGCUUUAGGAAUUUACAGCAGUUUUAACAGUUUAGCAUUUUGACAUGAAUAUUUCUGUGCUGCAGUUUCAUAGCUUGGGGUUAAUAGAUUUUUGACCAAGUGAUGGUGGCCAAGUUUCCCCUUCAAUUAAUUAACCUAAUUAAGCUAAUGAAUAGCUGCAAUGUACAUUUUCUAAAAUUCUAACUUUUACUUCCAUUGAGAUGCUUUUUCUUUAUGCUGAUACCCUACUGAAGCAUUUGAUUGAAGUGUAAGGGACUCAAAUGGAAACAUUAAACUGCCUAUGUGACCUGCUCUUUUUUUUUUUUUUUUUUUUGCUGCCAAAUGCUCUUAAAUUACCUAGAAUAUUGCAGAAUAUUUAUCAAGUUGUUCCAUAA